CUGGUCUCGAACUCCUGACCUCAGGUCAUCGCACCUCUGUCUCCCAAAGUGUUGGGAUUACAGGCGAAAGCCAAAAGAUAUGGACACCACUGCUUUAGUAGAUGAGGUUGGAAGACUUUUAAGACAUUGUAAUACCAGGGUUAGGAGUGAAUGACUCACUCAGGGGCCUUCUGGGGUGCUGUCUCGACAGCUCCAGGCCUCUCCCAG
rnacentral:lncRNA from 10 species